ACAAACAGUCAGUCAAGUAUGCAAGUACAACAAGCGCGCUUGGGCGAGAGUUGUUUUAGGAUGGGUGACCUCCUGGGAAGUCCUCGUGUUGCACCUC
rfam:Lupinus angustifolius cultivar Tanjil chromosome LG19, whole genome shotgun sequence.